CGUUCGAAAAUGCCUAGGUUGGUGGAUCGACCCUCCGCGGAGCAAAGACGGAUGGCUGGCAGGAGCAGGUUCAGGAGCUGGGCCAAGGAGUGUUUGGCCCGGCGGUCCACCCCGGCUUCCCGAGAUACGCUAGAGUUGCCCCCACGUCCUGUCCGCCGCGCCCCUACCCACCGGGUUGCCUUCGGGGCCCUUCGGUGCUGUGUAGUCGGCGUGGCGCUGUGAGCUAGGCGAACAGGAACCCCCAGGCCCGCCACGUCUACGCUAUUAGCAGCCAGGUAGCCCUGCGGGUCGAAGAUGCUCAGAGGAGGAGUAAAUGCAGAGAAAAA
rnacentral:lncRNA from 1 species